rnacentral:rRNA from 1 species
GUAGGGAAUAUUGGUCAAUGGACGAAAGUCUGAACCAGCCAUUCCGCGUGCAGGAAGAAGAUUCUAUGGAUUGUAAACUGCUUUUAGCAGAGAAGAAACGCCUUCAUUGAUGAGGGUUUGACGGUAUCUGCGGAAUAAGCACCGGCUAACUCCGUGCCAGCAGCCGCGGUAAUACGGGGGGUGCAAGCGUUAUCCGGAAUCACUGGGUUUAAAGGGUGCGUAGGUGGGAAAUUAAGUCAGUGGUGAAAGUCUGUUGCUUAACGAUUGAAUUGCCGUGGAUACUGAUUUUCUUGAAUUGGGUUGAGGUUAGCGGAAUGUGACAUGUAGCGGUGAAAUGCAUAGAUAUGUCAUGGAACACCAAUUGCGAAGGCAGCUAGCUGGGCCUUGAUUGACGCUGAGGCACGAAAGCGUGGGUAGCGAACAGGAUUAGAAACCCGUGUAGUCC